rnacentral:rRNA from 1 species
AGUGAACGCUGGCGGUAGGCCUAACACAUGCAAGUCGAAUGGCAGCACAGGAGAGCUUGCUCUCUGGGUGGCGAGUGGCGGACGGGAGAGGAAUGCAUCGGAAUCUACUUUUUCGUGGGGGAUAACGUAGGGAAACUUACGCUAAUACCGCAUACGACCUACGGGUGAAAGCAGGGGACCUUCGGGCCUUGCGCGAUUGAAUGAGCCGAUGUCGGAUUAGCUAGUUGGCGGGGUAAAGGCCCACCAAGGCGACGAUCCGUAGCUGGUCUGAGAGGAUGAUCAGCCACACUGGAACUGAGACACGGUCCAGACUCCUACGGGAGGCAGCAGUGGGGAAUAUUGGACAAUGGGCGCAAGCCUGAUCCAGCCAUACCGCGUGGGUGAAGAAGGCCUUCGGGUUGUAAAGCCCUUUUGUUGGGAAAGAAAUCCAGCUGGCUAAUACCCGGUUGGGAUGACGGUACCCAAAGAAUAAGCACCGGCUAACUUCGUGCCAGCCGCCGCCGUAA